GGAGAAGGUUUACUACCGUUUAUAAUUUGAAAGCACACGUGAAGGCUCAUGAACAGGCAAAUAGCUAUAUGUGUGGGGUUUGUAAUGAGUGUUUCUCCACACCAGCCAAAUUGAACACUCAUCGGAGGACUCAUUAUGAACCUGAAAGACCUUACAAAUGUGAAUUUCCUGAUUGUCAGAAGACUUUCACUC